GUGUGAAUACUGCUUGAAUAAAUAC
rnacentral:piRNA from 1 species